rnacentral:misc_RNA from 1 species
GAUGAAGAACGCAGCGAAAUGCGAUAAGUAAUGUGAAUUGCAGAAUUCAGUGAAUCAUCGAAUCUUUGAACGCACCUUGCGCCUUUUGGUAUUCCGAAAGGCACACCUGUUUGAGCGUCAUGAAUACCUCAAUCUCCAUCUUUUCUUCGGAUUGAUGGGUGACUUGGAUGUUGAGCCCUGCUGGUAUGCUAUAUCAGCUGGCUUUAAACUUAUUAGCCGGCUCUGUACUGGAUCGGUUUGACUCGACGUGAUAAUAUUAUCGUUGAGGAUGCAUGUCUCAUGCAGCCGGAAAGUAUCAAAGCAGCUACUAGCUUGCCUUUAGUGCACUUUUACAUUUUAGACCUCAGAUCAGGUGGGACUACCCGCUGAACUUAAGCAUAUCAAUAAGCGGAGGA